GAUGAACGCUGGCGGCGUGCCUAAUACAUGCAAGUCGAGCGAAUGGAUUAAGAGCUUGCUCUUAUGAAGUUAGCGGCGGACGGGUGAGUAACACGUGGGUAACCUGCCCAUAAGACUGGGAUAACUCCGGGAAACCGGGGCUAAUACCGGAUAACAUUUUGAACCGCAUGGUUCGAAAUUGAAAGGCGGCUUCGGCUGUCACUUAUGGAUGGACACGCGUCGCAUUAGCUAGUUGGUGAGGUAACGGCUCACCAAGGCAACGAUGCGUAGCCGACCUGAGAGGGUGAUCGGCCACACUGGGACUGAGACACGGCUCAGACUCCUACGGGAGGCAGCAGUAGGGAAUCUUCCGCAAUGGACGAAAGUCUGACGGAGCAACGCCGCGUGAGUGAUGAAGGCUUUCGGGUCGUAAAACUCUGUUGUUAGGGAAGAACAAGUGCUAGUUGAAUAAGCUGACACCUUGACGGUACCUAACCAGAAAGCCACGGCUAACUACGUGCCAGCCGCCGCGGUAA
rnacentral:rRNA from 1 species